UUUGUCGGAAGGAAAAAACCCCUCCUCUUACAUAAGCAUCCCACACAUUUGUAGACCACACUUAUUGUCAGACCCCGCUCGUUGCAGCGAGGAUCCGAGAGGUAGAUCUAGAUCGAACUGAGGAAGAGAGGGGGAGGAAGCGUCUCCGGCAGGAAAUCAGAGGAGAUGGGUUCGAGUUGUAUUAUGAGUUUAGAUAUUUUGUUUGAUAUAGACUCCGACUCCAGACUUUCUACUUAUCUGAUACAGAGGAGUUCUUUACUUCACAGGCCGCACAGGCCCACUCUGGCCCAGCCAGGCGCACAUUGGGAGUCUUGGUCCUUCUUCCUUUCUUGGGCGUGGGAGAUGUUGAAGGGUCUCCUGGAUAAGGCUCACUGACACCCCCCCUCCUUGGGUACCGGCCUGUCCCCAGGCCGGAGCAGCAUGGAAGUACUGCAUGAUGUAGUCAGCGUCUUCCCAUGUGGCCAAAUCAUCACCCAGUCCCGACCAUCUGAUGAGGAGUUGUUGUACCGAAGUGUUGCCGCGCUGGUGUAGGCGGCGUUGCAGUACCCGCUCAGGAAUCUGGAGACCAUCAUCGGUGUCUGGAAGGUCGGUUGAAACAACGACCGAAGCUGGAGGAGCUGGCUUGAGUAGGGACACAUGGAAGACGGGUGGAUGGAAGACGAUGCAGGAAGCUGAAGCUUGUAGGCAACGGAGCCAAUCUUUGAGAUAAUUUUGAAUGGUCCGAAGUACUUGAAGCACAGCUUGUGGUGAGAGCGCGGAGCCAGUGAAGACUGUACAUAAGGCUGUAGUCGAAGAUACACACUGUCGCCGACCUCGAAGGAGCGCUCGGAGCGGUUCUUGUCGGCUUGAGACUUCAUUCGCUGUUGAGCUCGGAGCAGAUGUUGUCGAAUAGCAGCUAGCAUAGUUUCACGUUUCUCGAGCAUGGAUUCCACAUCCCGCACACAGGAACAAACAACAUUAGUAAUACCAAAAUGUCGAGGGGGAUGGCCGUAUAGUACCUUAACGGGGGAACGGCCCAGAGCCGAGUGGAAGCUGAAGUUGUACCAAAAUUCUGCUAGAGAGAUCCAACGUAAGCACUGUUUCGGGCAAGAAUGAACGAAGCAGCGGAGGAAAGUUUUCAAGCACUGGUUCACACGUUCUGUUUGGCCAUCUGAUUACGGAUGGUAGGCUGAACUCACGCACAACUGAACUUGAGCAAGGCAAAACAGUUCCUUCCAGAAAGCACUUGUGAAAUUUGGGUCACGAUCAGAGAUAAUAUGUGUAGGCAGACCAUGUAAGCGAAUGAUAGAGUCCAGGAAUGACUGAGCCACCUUCUGAGCCGUGAAAGGAUGGAGUAAAGGCACGAAGUGGGCAAACUUACUGAACUUGUCGACGACUACCAUAAUGCAGUUUGUAGAGCCUGAGGUAGAGAGUCCCUCAAUGAAAUCCAUGCUGACCACCUGCAAAGAUUCAGUUGGCACCGACAAUGGGGACAACAGCCCUGGGUACUUAAUAACACGGUCUGGUUUGGCCUGAAGACAGAUAGUGCAUGCAGCGACAUAUGCUUGGACAGCAGUCUUCAUUCCCCGCCAUGCAAACAAUUUCUUAACACGGCUAUAAGUCACUGGAAAACCAGAAUGACCUCCCAGGGCACUGUCAUGGAGGGCCGAGAUAACCUUUUGCUGCAAGGUUGGUGUGUUGCUCAGCCAAAUGCGGCCUUUGUAGCGGAUCAAACCCCUUGACAGUGUAUAUGGAGGCUGUGCUUGCGGGUUGAGGGCGAGCUUUUGAAGAAGAGCAGCAGCUGAAGGGUCGUUAUCAUAACCAGCAAGCACUUCAGACACCCAUGCGGGCUGCAGCGAUGAGACAGCCUGCAACUGCGAAGGGGGAGUUGGGUGGUGUGAGAGGGCGUCGGCUGCCAAAUUUGUGGAUCCUGGUUUGUAGACCACCUUGUACUGCAGACCAGCUAACUUGGAAUACAUCUUAAGCUGCCAAGGAGUGUGAAGCCUUUGAUCUGUGAUAUGUGUAAGGCUGCGCUGAUCAAUGAAUAUGACAAACUCGAUGUGCAGAAGGUAGGAUCACCACUGGUCAAUUGCCACUAAGAUUGCCAAGUAUUCCUUGUCAUAAGUUGAUAGCCCACGAGUUUGGGGUCCCAGUGCUUUACUGACGAAUGCCUGGGGAUGACCCUCUUGUAAUAGAACAACACCAACACCCAUGUCGCUUGCAUCUGUCUGGAUUUGGAACUGUUUGCUAAAAUUGGGCAAGGGUAGAACUGGUGCUAUCACUAAAGCUUCCUUGAUGGCGGAGAAUGCAGAAGAGUGAACAGAAGUCCAGACAAACAAAGUACCCUUCUUGACCAAGUCAUUGAGAGGCCGCUCCAGGAUGGUGAAGUUACGGACAAACUUCCUAUAGUAGCCUGCAAGACCCAAAAAACUGCGAAGUUGCUUGACAUCUAUUGGCUGGGGCCACUGCUGGACUGCAACAAUUUUUGAAGGAUCAGUACUAACUCCCUUUGCACUGACCACAUGGCCGAGAUAAGCUAUAGAUUCCUGGGCAAACCUACACUUGCUCAACUUAACUAGCCACUGGUCUUUGGACAACAAUUCAAACACCAGACGUAAAUUUAUCAAGUGUUGCUCAAGGGUGGGACUGUACACCAAUAUGUCAUCAAAGAAGACAAUGACACAAAUGUGGAGACAAGGCUUCAAAGUGGAAUUCAUCGCCCCUUGGAAGGUGUUGGGAGCGCCCGUGAGGCCAAAGGACAUAAUAGUGUACUCGAAAUGGCCCCAAUGAGUUUCGAAGGCAGUCUUGUAUUCUUCCCCUGGGGUGAGGCGGAUGUGGUUGAAUCCAGCGCAGAGGUCCAAGCAAGAGUACCAGCGAGCAGAGGACAGCUCAUCAAGCAACUCAUCGAUGACAGAAAUUGGAAAUUUGCUCUUAACGGUCAAGGCGUUUAGCAUUCUGUAAUCAACACACAUGCGCCAGGAGUUGUCCUUAUUGCGAACCAGAAGCAUAGGGGAAGAAAAUGGGCUUGUGCUCGGCUGAAUCAUCCUAGUUUGGAGCAUGUCUGACACUUGUUGCUCAAUCUCUAAUUUUAGCUUAGGAGAGUACCGAUACUAGCGGACUGACACUGUCUGUGCGCCUUGUACAUGAGGAAUCGAGUGGUCACACGGUCUUCUCGGAGGAAGAGAUGUUGGCUCCUGAAAGAGGUGGUGGAACUCAUCAAUGAGGGCUUGGACCGCUGGUAAGAGUCUUGGUUGUUGGUCAGAAGACGGCUCAGAGGAUAUGCUGAACAAUUGGAGCGAAGAGCAAACAAACUCAGAGGGAAAGGGACCAUGCAGAAGAAUGAUCCUGUGUCAUAAGGAAUAAGCAUCCACUUGUCCUUCCAAUGCACUUUCAUGGGAGAAAAUGCCGCUAGCCAAUCCAUGCCCAGGAUGAUGUCAUAGGAACCCAGCUAAAUAAUUCUAAGUGUAGAGUGGAAGCUAUGGCCUUGAAUUUCCCACUCAGCAUUGGAUAACUCAGCGGAACAGGUGAUGCAACUGCCAUCAGCAACACGAACGACCAUGGGGACCGGUAAGGGUACUGCACCUGUGAGAGAAGACGCCAUUGAACUGCUGACAGAAGAGUGACUACUCCAAGAAUCCACAAGAAUAAGAACACCUUUGCCAGCGAGAGAGCCAGAGAACUGCAUAGUGAGUGGAGCCAAAUUACCCAAAAUCGCUACAGCAGACAGAGCCAUGAAGAAUUGGCCUUGAGUUUCAGAAUAUUGAGGGUCCGAAGCAGACUGUUCAGUAGCAGGGUCAUCAAUUGGAAGUUCAAAUUCUGCCUGACAAAGUUCCCAGUCCUCCUGUAACGCAUGCAACUGGGGUGUAGGAGCACAACGAUGACCGGGCACCCAUUUGUCCGCACAGCAAAUGCACAGGCCCCGUGCCCUUCUAAAGGAUUUCAAAGGAGCAAACCUGUCUUCAGUGGAGACAGACUUGGGUGCUGGUAUCUUGUCUUCUGCGGUAGACCUCUCCGCUGAAGAUUUGGUUGGGGGAGGGGGCACGGGUAAGGCGCCACGGCCACCCAUAGUCUUGUGGAAAGAAAGAGAGUCCAAACGUCAUGCUCCCGUGCGCUGGACAGGUUCCGCCGCCUCUUCCUACAGUAAUGCCAGGGUACAAGCAGUAUCCAAAUUUGGUGGACGAGCAACUAAAAUGACUGAAAGAAUAUAGGCACGAAGGCCAUCAAUGAAUCUAGUGGUAAAGGAUAGAGUAUGUGGGUUACGGUUGUAGGACUUGAGCUGGUCAACCAGUUCUGUGAACUAAUCGACAUAUUCUUUAACUGAGGUAGAUUGGCGAAUGUUGAAGAGCUGGCACAAGAGAAACUCAUGCUGAUCACGGCUGAAACGCUCGUGGAUCAUGCUGUAGAAGGAGGGCCAAUCGGUUGUCGCCAAAAGGUGCUCUACUGAUUGGAGCCAGCGUUUCGCAGCGCCGGUAAAAUGCAUGGUGGCUACCUUAACCCACAUGGAUGGUUCGACCUCGUACAUGUCAAAGUAAUUGGUAGCGCAAGUCGUCCAGAACUGGGCGUGCUCACCAUCGAAUUGAGGAAAAUUAAGCUUAGGGAGGCGGCCCAAUUGGUUAGGAUGGAAGGCGUUGGUGGUGACGGCGGUAUUGGGGGAGGUGUAUAGGGGAAUUUUGGGGAAGGAAAUGGGCAGUAGGCUGGUAGGUAUGGGAUGGUGGAGGUUUUGAGUGGUGGUGGCCAUAUUGGUUUGGAGGAUCAGGUGGAUGGGAGUAAUAGUAGGGAAUGGGUUGGGAAGGGGGAAAUUGGGACGGUUGAGGAAGUGGAUUCAUGUGUGGGAACAAGGAGGGGGAAGGGCGGAGGGACCUACCAUGAAUCGGGGGGGUGGGCUAUGGUCAUUACCGACCCGUAGCCCUGCUCGCAGUGCCCCUUGGGCCAGUCAACCUUUCCUCCAACAGGUGGGCGCGCGGAGGCCGGCUCAAUGAAGGUGACGGCGCCUGGAUGACCCGUGUUCUCCGCCGCGGGACGAGGGGCGCUCCUGGGAAUCUGGCUUAGCUCGACGCGAACGUCUUGGAGCGAAGCCUCAACCCACGGGCGCCAUUUGUUGAACACCUCGGUUGCACUCUCCAAGGCAGCGACGCGGUCGUCUCUUUUGUCGCGGAUCUCCAUGAACCAGAUGAGCUCGAUGUCGUCCGCUCGCUGCUCCAGUUCCCCAAGGCACCACUCAACCGAGCGCCCCCAGUCGUCCGCCACCACGUUUUGCUCCGACUGGUCCGAGCAGAACGUCUCAAGGGAGGACAAACGGGUCCGGGUCGCAGGCAUGCCGGAGCAGAUGUCCUCUAGGGCGAUGAUGCGGCGAUCUACCUCGGCAGCAUGCUCCUUGGUCGAAGCCUCCGCUCCAGCGAACUUGGCUUCCCACUUGGCGUCGAAGGAAUCGAACUGCUUCAAAACCUCCUCGAAGGCAGACUUCACGGUAGGAUCUAUAACUCCGCGAGCACGUUGAAGGCGGGUGUAGUGCUCGUGCGCGCCGGCUGGAUCCAGCACCCUCAACCGAGAUCAUCACUGCUUUGAUACCGGAUGUCAGACCCCGCUCGAUGCAGCGAGGAUCCGAGAGGUAGAUCUGGAUCGAACUGAGGAAGAGUGGGGGAGGAAGCGUCUCCGGCAGGGAACCGGAGGAGAUGAGUUCGAGUUGUAUUCUAAGUUCAGAUAUUUUGUUUGAUACAGACUCCGACUCCAGACUCCCUACUUAUCUGAUACAGAGGAGUUCUUUACUUCACAGGCCGCAUAGGCCCACUCUGGCCCAGCCAGGCGCACAUUGGAAGUUUUGGUCCUUCUUCUUUUCUUGGGCUUGGGAGAUGCUGAAGGGUCUCCUGGAUGAGGCUCACUGCACUUAUGAUCACAGUAAAAUUACGCUAGGAUCGGUCUUUACAAAGCGCCCGUAAUACACCACUGCUUCUUGGCUCCCUUGCUGCGGCUCGCGCGACCUGUGAUACCUGCAAACACAGAAGAGGCAAACUGUACUCUCUUGGUGAAGGUCGUGCUCCGCAGCAAGGAGCAGUUAAAUGGUGCAGCGAAUGGUGAGGCUGUCACACCCCAAAAUUCAUGUUUUGGGAUGUGACUAGAAAAAUACUAAAAACAAAAUAUUUUUUUUACUAUUUUUUUUAAAAGUUUCACAACUUUAGUUAAGUUGUUGACAUUUUACAUAGUGGAAAAAUAUGGAUUUCUAAAAUUUUAAUAAACUAAUUUAGUGGUUUAUUGUAUUCAUGCUAUUGCAUAAUGUUUAUGUUUGAAAAAUAAAUUUAAUUGUUUUCAAGAUACGCUUAGGGUUUGAUCCCAAGCUCAUCUUUCCAAACAUCAUGUCCAAUCUCUAAAACUCUAAUCAAGUCAAGCUUCCAUAAAAUCCUAGUCAUAAAAUCCUAACUACUCAUGUCUUGAUGUCCUUUGCAACCUAGCUUCUUGUGCAACCUAUGCAACCACCAAUUAAGGUCACAAGAUCUAGAUCUAACGUCUGAGGUUUUUUCACUUAAAUCCUCCCAUGUGGAUACACACGGGUUAGAUUUAAACCCACAGGUGGAGGGAUUUAAGUGAAAAAACCUCAGACGUUGGAUCUAGAUCCUAUGGUCUUAAUUGGUGGUUGCAUAGAUUGCACACGAAGCUGGGUUGCAUAUGAUACAUUGCCUUUCUCUUCCAUUCUUUUAUGGAACUCAAAAUCAAUCUCAAUCGAGUGUGAACUUCUCUCUUCUUUCUUUUUCUACGUUGUUUUGUUUUCUAACCCAAGUUCAUCUCAAUCAAUUUGGGUUACCUGAAUAUAUUAUUACUAUUGAAUAUGCAUCUUUAUAUUUAUACGUACCUUAAUCAUUAUAAAAAGUAAACAAAAAUCUCUGAAAUCUACAUAUAAAUAGUAAUAUAUAUUAUUAAUAAAUAAAUCAUUAUCCAUAAGGUAUGAUAUAUAUAAUAUAUAUAUUAUAUAAAUGAUUGAUUACUUUACGAGGAAGGGCAUGAUGUCAUCUUUAACCAUGAAGGACGUGGCCUGGUCGAUUGCUCCUUUUGAAUGUAAAUAUGUGUCGUCACGUCAACCAAAAGGCCAUCAAAUUAAUUUAGAAAAUUUAGAAACCACUUUUUCAUUUAAAUUUACAUAAACUUAAACUAAACUUGGUAAAUUUUAUACAAAUAUUACAUCCAUUUAUUUUGUUUAGUGUUUUCAAUGCACAACUCAAAAUCAAAAAUUUUGGGGUGUGACAGUGUGACUUAUAUGCUUCAAACAGAGAGGAUGCUCUUUGCUGCCUAGUACCAGUUAAGGGCUCUAGUAAAACUCAUCUCACACAAAACUGUAAAUUUAAGGUUUUGUCCAUUGUUAAGUUGUGGCUGAGUGUUGCUAUUGUUCUAGAUGGAUGUUCAACUUAACAGUCUCCAUCGUAACUCUGGUAUAUGAAAGGAAUGUGAUAUUGAGUGUGGUUUGUAUCGAACCCUAGAGUUUGGUGGGGAUUGUUAGAUGUUUUAUGGGCUUGGCUUAUUAAAUAUUUAAUGAAUCAAGUAAACUCUACGGUCCGGUUAAUGUCUAUUAAAUGGUUUAGUACCGUAUGGGUUUUUAACGGAGGGUUAGCUCAACUUAAAUGAUAGAUCUGUGAUUGCUUACAUUGAGAAGUUGAGAAAAGAAUAGUUGAGUGCCACACGCGCGGUGUGGCGUGGCGUGGCGAGGCGAGGUAGGCAGGCGGCGGCAAGCUAGCGGACGGGCGGGCGAGCCUUAAUUUUGCCACUUAGCUCCAUUGAUGGAUGGAGUUGCAACUAGUGCUAAUUAUGGCUGGAGUUGCAACUAGUGGCAAUGAUGAGAGGAGUUUUUCCUGAACCGUUCACUUCCGUUGUCACUUCCUGUAACACCCUAAAAUUUUCUCCUUUUGAUAUAGAGUUAAAAUUAUCUAAUUAUACAUUUUUUUUGUGCUGAUAAAAAUAUAGAAAAAUAAUAUUUUUCAUUAAAUUAAAAAUUAUCAUAAGGUUUAGCAAUAUUGUUGUGCAUACAUGCUGGUGCAUAAGGUUUGAUGUAAUGUUUGAUUGUUUCUCCUUUGCUGUUGACAGUGAGAGAAAUAUUUAAAAUACGUUUAUUAGAUCGAUCUUUUUUCUUCGGCAUAUAUUUAUCUUUUUCUACAAUCAAAUCUCUUGUCUCUCAACUCAAGAUUUCAUUUAGAGUCUCUCAAAAUCUUUUCUUUCAUACCUCGUCACUCCUUUCAAAGCAAUCUCUACAAACUUCUCGAAAAUUUUUCCGGCCUUUUUCCGUGAGCAUAAUCUAAUUCUUAGAUAUUUCAAAUUAUCUUAUCAUGAUCUCCAAAUACUUUAUUUAGGUUUCUCAUGUUACAUAUAAUAUCUCUGAAAAUUUGCUUCGAAUUUUUAGAGCUUUCGAAGUAUUUUCCGCGGCUAAAUAGUAAUUCUAGAUUCUCUAGAAUAAUUAUUUUUAGCCAUGAAAUUAAAUAUUCCAAAAAUAAUAAAUUGUAAACCUAGUCAAACUUGAUCCAAACCGAGCGUGUAUAUAUAUACGUCAUGUUCAUCUAGGGUAUGGAUCUCUUUCAGCAUCACGUCCUGUCUUUGGGAAACCGCCGCCCACGCCGAGGCCAACGCCUACGUCUUCGGCGUUACCCCUGCAGUUGAUCCGGUUGCCCUCUCCGGUGGAACCCCUACGCGCUUACUACGCCGUGCCGAGCCGGCUGCAGCUGGGGAGUGAUGGCGAUGCACAAGUAGAAGACGAUCGAUCUGGAGCAGGGGUGGGAGUUCUUGCAGAAGAGCACCGCCAAAGCAAGAACAUCCUGAGGGCAAGCUCGAGCCGCAGUUCAGCUUUGAGGACUACGUGAUGCUCUACACGACGAUUUAGGAUCGGUGCAUCCAUAAGCCGCAGCAUGACUGUACCAUGAAUCAUUCGAAGAGCACCAUGCCAUGGACGGGCUCUCCUAGUCUUUGGUAAACGCCAUCUAGGUGAGUUCGUCGAGAGAUUUCUCUACAAUUCCAUGCACUUCCCGUCCAAAACCGAGUAUCGUUGUCAUCGAAGGCCGACGAGUUCUCGGUCGCCAGGCAAGGAAGCUUCCUCGUGCGCUCAUUGUUAGCUCCAUGAUGUCAUGAUGAUGCGGUGAUGACGUGUAUGAAUUUUGUUGCCGUUUUUCUUUAGAAAAACAAAUCUAGAAAUACAAAGAAAAUACACUAGUUUGUUUAGGCCAUAUCUUCUUCGUUUGAACACCGUUUUAUUCCAUUCAAACUGCUUUAGGUUCAUAAUCAUGAGCUCUACAUGUUAGUAAAAUUAUUUACUCAGUUUGAAACUUUUUAUGUUCGUGACCCUAAUUAAUUAAUUACUUUUCUAUAUAAAAUCUUAGAAAAUUCAUAACUCCUCCGUUUUAAUUCCGAUUUUCGCGAUCUUUACGUCUAUGAAAUCGUAGCGAUGCGUAGAAUCAUUUUAUAAACUUUUCAUACUGUUUUUAUAUGAUUGGUGUACUGUUCUAAUUGUAGCCUUGUUUGCUUCGUGUAUGUUUUUUCCGAUUGUUUGUGUGAUCGAUGAUCGAGUUUAGACGGAGAGCAGUUUUGGUGAUCAAGAUCAAAACUUUGGCAACAAGUAAGACCAGCAGAACCAAAAGGAUAAGCAAGAGCAUUUGGAUCAAGGCAAAUAUAGCAUUUGGGUUUUAUAUUCUGUGACCAUGAUCCUAUGACUAGAUUAAUAUUAAGUAAUAAAUGAUAAAAAUGACUUUUUAGCAACUUGAUGAUUUGUCUGUAAGUGAUAACCGAGACAACAGUGCAACCAUGAGGGCUAUAAUGGCUCUGGCUUUAGCUCAGUAUGAAGACCCUUUUCUAGCUUGUUAGAGGUUACCCGAAAGGGUGGAGGGGCUGAACCGUUUUGGGUAUAGUGUGGCCUCUGUCUGUAUGUGUAUAGGCUGCGAGUCAUUGUGCCAUCGGAAGGGGGGCUCUAUAUCUGCGCGCAAAGAAAACCUUGCGGCCCUGUUAGACGAACUUUUGAAAGGCUUCAUAGUGAUCCCUGCCGACCUUCCUUGGUAGUGGGUUAAGAGGCUGAUCACCUCGGGCGAAAGGGUAAAUCAUGACUCAUGGGUAAAGAUGUACAACCUCUGCAGAGUGUUAAAAACUGGUAUACUAGCCGUGCUUACGGUCAAGAGCGGCCUUGGGGAUUCUUGCAUCAACGGUGAUGAUUCUUGUGUGUUAAAUAUGCUCAUUAUUUAUUAUUUAAUGCUUUACAUUAUUUAUGUCACAUUGAUCAUGAGAUUGUGGGAUCUAUACAAUCUAGUUGCUAUACUUGUGGAGUUCGACAUGGACUCACUCUUGCUAUUUCCCCCAAACCUCAUGAGAAGUUUAGGCUUGUGAUCAACCAGUCAGUUGGAUCCUGUAGAGUGAAGUUAAUACCCGAAGUUUGGAGUAUCUUCCGUUGUUUGCUGCCUAAGGUUAUCUCUGAUUUAUUAUGUACGUUAUAUAAUUUAUGCAUUGUCUUUUGAUAUUACCUCUUAUUUGUAGCUAUAUGUGAGAUUUGACUUAUAAGACUCACAUAUGGUGCAUAUCUGGUUUUGUCCUUAAAAUCGGGUAUUACACUUCCUCUCCGUGGCGCCUGGGACUCUGUCCCUUGAUCUCUCUUCUCCAUCAUCUAUAAAUUGAGAGCCUCUCCCUCUAAUCUAGACUUGAGAACAACACAUCACAUCCAGCAGCCUCUGAGUUUCCCUGUUCCAUCUCUUGCGAGCACUCGAGAUGGAAGAGUAGGCCUCCGGAAUGUCUUCGUCCAUCGGGCUCACCUGCUCGGGUGAGGACGGAAAUCAUGUUUUUGGGGAGUGUCCGGCAGCGGCACGACUACUCGCUUCGUCCCCUCCCUAUUUCCGGCGGGUGCAAGGUUCUCACGACACGCAGGGAUCUCCACUGCUUCCUAGCUGCACUGUAUUGAUCGGGACGACUACAUCAGCAAAAGCACCAUGUCGCUCGCUAGUGCUUCCGGCUCUGCCGUAGGGUAUGAAAUCUUUAAACAUCCUCUUAUUUUGUUGAUCAAAAUAUUACCGGUUAGCGUUGUUUGGACGACGAUCAUGCUCUAUCUAUACAAUAAGAUGCAUGAUAUUAUUUUGUUUAUUGCUAUAAUUAUUUCCAUGAUUAUUAGUCUAAAUAAGCACAUAUUUGAUAUACUGUGUAAGUCUUAUUUUUGGAAUAAAUUAAACAUGAUUUUGCCUGUAUUUAUAUACGGCCCAGAUUCUAAUUCUAACGCAUGCUUAAGGUAUUCAUCACAUCAUGCUCUGUUUAAGCUUAAAAUUGGUGAUCUCAAACAGCGCCUUGUGCUUUGUUGAGUUCCAUUUGAACGCUGGGUCUGCUAGGCUUAAAGCCAACAUUUGUUGCAAGAAAAUUGGACUAUUCGUAUUAUUAUACAUACAACAUCCAUUAAAAAAUUAUGCCACCCGUACAUAUACAUAGGCCUUGUUUAGUUCGCAAAAAUUUUCAAGAUCCUCUGUCACAUUGAAUCUUUAUUCGCAUGCAUAGAGCAUUAAAUAUAGAUGAAAAUAAAAAUUAAUUACACAAUUUACCUGUAAUUUGUGAGAUGAAUCUUUUGAGCCUAGUUACUCUGUAAUUAGACAAUGUUUGUCAAAUAAAAAUAAAAGUGCUAGAGUAGCCAAAAACCAAAAAAAUUGCAAACUAAACAAGGCCAUAAUAAAAUAAAAUUAAAAUCAAAUGAAAUCUCGAUGCUUUAGCUUUACAUUGCAGGGCCGCUAACAAGGUCAAACAUUUCGUAUGUUGCACUGAAUACGACAGAAAUAGUGAUGUAUUGUUUGCAAAGCAAGUGAUGGACUUCUACCAGCGGGGCAUGUUAAUUAAUUUCGCUUAGUUGCUACACAUCGCUACCUCCUCUGGUGAUUGAGCUUCAUGAUGGCGAAGCCGAAUAGGAGAGCAAAGAAGAUGGCGAAUGCCACGACCACCACGGCCACCACGCCCAACCAGCUGUGCUUGAAGCCGAAGUACUUCUCCACGAACACAUUCACGGGGACACCGUUGUCCAUGGGUGUCGUGAUGUCCCCAAACUGAGACACAACCAGCCCAUACAGCGUCCAUGCCACAGGGCAUGCCCAACAGUACCAAUUCCACCAGAUGGGGACUUUCUGAGCAUGUUGCCAUACCAAAAAGGGCUAUGAGUUUCACAAUUAGCGACAACAUUUUACAUUUGUGUAGACAUGGGCAAUUGAUGGAGAUGGAGCAAUAUAUAAUGACACUUACGGGGCGAGGGAUGAUGAAUCCAGAGAAGAGGUUCCAGAUGUUAUAGAAUGCCGAGGAGACGAUUGACGCGACAGGGUAGCUCGGUGUCAAGCCCACAGCCAUCAUGCCAUAGAACGUGAAGUAGAGGAAGGUGAAGUACAUGAAGAAGAGGUACCAAAAGAAUUUGGCAACUGUCCAUUUGAACCCGAUCAUCGAGUACACUAUGACCCCAUAUAUGGUGGCCUGAGCCAGAGUGUAUGGGAGUUCAAUCGAAACCUAUAUACAGCAGAAGUUUUAGUGAUAUCAUUAUUAGUGGCCUCUCAUUCAUAGAAGGUAUGUACUAUAUAUCAGGAGAUUAUAUGAGAGCCGUUCGAUCACCUGUCCAAAUGCAUAUGGCAAAGCCGAGUACAUGCCGGCAGCUCUUUCACGGUAAAACACAGUCCGCUCCACAAAGACUACUGGCUGGAUAGAUUUAGCAUUCAAGAUGCCAAUGAACAUCACUGCAGCAUACAUGGACCCCAUGGUGUUGAGCAAAUCUUGUGAUUGGCUCCUGGUAGGUACAGAAUCAUAAGCUUCAGAUUCUUUUUUUUCUUUUUGAGAUGUUCACACACUAGACAGGUGCAAUGUAACAGAUGGAAGUUACUUACAUUUUACCACCAAGGUCCCAGAAGACAGUGCCGGAGAUAAGCGCUAUGAUAGUUGUGAAAAAUAGCCUAAUGGCAUUGUAAGCAGGGUUCCUCCAAUAUGACAGGUUUUGCUUCCACAAGCAAGCCACGCAUUGCAUGAAGAAAGACUGCGAGUAUUGGUUACGGAAAUGAAGGUCACUUGAGCCUGCUGAUGGUUCGCUUAACUUUUGUAUCAAGGCCUUGUUCCUCCUGAAGAAUGUAAUAACAUUAGAAUCAUCAUGUUUAUCAUGGUGUAGCAAUGAUGCGGAAAGAAGAAAAUUCGAGGAUAGUAGACACUGGUUAUGAACUUAUAAUAUGUACCAGUUCAAAGUUUUACGUUCACUAUGAUAGCAAAGUUAAAGAAAAUCUCCAAGAUGCAAAAUGACUCGAAUAUUUUCCUUGCUAAUAAUAACAGUAACAAUCUUACACUUGUAUAAGACAUGUAGUAGUUACUUGAGAAAAGUAUAGGUGCAAAAAAAACAUACAUACGUAGUCAUCAAAAUGGUGACUCUAUUGAACAAAUAAGACAAGUAUGGUGCGUGUAUGUCCCUUUGUACUGUGAUUCGCAAAAUGACGAAAGUAUAUAUUUUUUUAAUUUAUUCAAAAUUAAAUUCAGAAUCCCAUAUAAGAACUCUGACUUCUAGCUCCAAACUUUAACAUUUUAAACUUUAACACAAAAAAUCCAAUUAGAUUAAAUUGCUCUACCGCUAGUCGUGAGUUACACUAGUUAGACCAAUGAAGUCUGAGAAUCAUGAAAUCCCCGUCACCAGUCCAUGUUCAAAUGCUUUUUCCAUCAAGUGAAUUAGAUCACAUGUUACUGUUACAGCACUGCUAUUUGUUACAAGCUGCAAUUUUUUCAAGGGAACAAACUAGAAGCUAAAGUUUCAGUACUGACUACAAAGAAUUUGUAAGUUCAGAGGGUAUUUAAAUGGCACAAUAAUUACAGUGUAGAUUGGACCCUAUAUUUUAAGGGUUAAUAAAGACUUACAACAUAGAUUUUGCUCAUCCGGGCUGCUAGUGGUGUAGUCUAAACCAAAGACCACCUAGGGACAAUAGGAAAUUCUGGAAAUGAAGUGAAUAGGAGGGUUGCAAGUUACUCACUGGUAUAAUUCAGAUUUCUUGUACAUGUCACUAAAGUCAACACCUAGUAUCUGUUCUUGCGAGAUUGUCGUUACUUCCAACAUCCAUGUCGCAGGAUUGUAGCCAUUUUUAAUUUUCUUGACUCCGUCAAUUCCCUAGAAAAUAUGAGCAAUACAAUGUAGUCAGUAAAUUGAAGCAAUAAAGUCGAGCAAUUUUUUUAAUAUUCAUGUAAUAUCACAACACCUCAAAAUACUUAAUCAGCUCAGAAGAAUGAUGGCCUAGUGGACCAACAUAGAUCUCCUCUCCUCCUGGCUUCAUAAGGAAAAGCUACAACAAUUCAUCAAAUACCUUAGACUUUGCAACAUUGUUUCAUAUCAUAUUUAUAAGACUAACCAUAGUCAACUAAAUUUCAAAAUCAGCCUAGUUAUGCAGAUGCAAAGUAAUGGUGGUAAGAAGAAAUCACUAGAAAGUACUCCCUCCAUCCUAAACUGUAUGUCAUUCCAAAAAUCUUGGAGAGUCAAAGCAUCUCAAGUUUGACCAAAAUUAUAGAAAAAAUUACAAAGUUUUGUGAAACCAAAUAGAUAUAGUAUGAAAAUAUAACUAAUGAAGAACCUAAUAAUACUUAGUUGAUAUCAUAAAUGUUAUUAUCCUACCAUAUAAAUUUAGACAAACUGAGGUUCUUUGACUCUCUAAGAUUCUUGAAAUAUCUUACAAUUUAUGAUGGAGGGAGUACAAAGAUCCACAAUAAACUCACCUCAUCGAAUGCUUCAAAUAUAUCAAUGCUAGGCUGAUGAAUCGUGCAGACUAUAGUUCUACCUGUAUCAACAGUAUUCCUCACUGUCCUCAUAACAAUUGCAGCUGCUCGGGCAUCAAGACCAGAGGUUGGCUCAUCCAUGAAAAUGAUUGAUGGAUUUGCAACCAGCUCCACAGCAAUGGUCAAUCUUUUCCUCUGUUCAGUUGACAGACCAUUCACACCAGGAAGUCCAACCAAAGCAUUUCUCAAUGGUUUGAGCUCCACAAGCUCCAUGACCUCCUCAAUGAACACCUGCAUGCAUAAAGGUAAGCAAUGUUGUCUAAUAUAUCAAGUCUAGAUAGAGGUUAGAAGUUGAAUCUAUUCUGUUUGGCUGACCUUUCUGGUGUUUGAAUCUACAUCUUUAGGAAGGCGGAGCCAUGCUGAGAAAACAAGUGACUCAUAGACUGUCACCUGCGGCGAGUGGAUAUCAUUCUGCUCACAGUAUCCUGAUACACGUGCAAAGGUCUCUUGCUUCUUUGGGUAUCCAGAAAUGCUAAUGUUUCCUUCAAUGUAACCACUGGUCUUUCUCCCAGCCAGUACAUCCAUUAGUGUUGUCUUGCCAGCACCACUAGCACCCAUCAGUGCGGUCAGCACUCCUGGUUUGAAAGAUCCACUGAUACCUUUGAGGAGCUCUAACCGGUCUCCGACUACUCCAAGUGUUUUCAUCUCCUGAAUGAGUUUCAUCAAAAGAUUAUUGUCUAAUUAUUAAUUCCUCAUGGUUGAUGAUUUAUAUAAAUAACUUCAAUAUACUUACCUGGGGCAUGUCAACAAAGUACUUGAUGUUAUUGAAAGUUAGUGAAAGCCGGGCAAACGGAAGAACCAUACCCCUUUGCGUAGUGCCAGAAUGAUUUUCAACAGUUGCUGAACCGGAUCUAGUGAUGCCAACUGUUUCUAAAUGGCUACUUCCUAGUGGCAAGUUGCCCCCAGCCACAACAUUACCACUGAGGUUUGCAUACUUCACCUUCAGUUCCUCUUCAGAUAUCGAUGGAUGGGACUUCCCAUAUGCUGAAACUCAAAAUAAAACCUUCUUAAUUUUAGGUAUUUUCAAAUGCAAAAACCAUGAGCAAACCAAUCCUAGAGGAACUCACGCUUCAGGUAGGCUAGGGCAAGUGUGAAGAGACAAUUGAAAAGCAUGACAAAUCCAAUCAAUGCACCUAAGCCGAUCCAAUACCACUUUGCUUCUGGGAAGACUCCACGGGACUUCAAGGAUUGCACACCUAGGGUUUCAUUGGACAUAGAGCUAUUCAAAAUUUUGUCCCAACUAUGCCCUAGCAUCUCAUUUACUGAGAUGGCAUUCUGGGCAUACAUCAGUGGGGAGAUCCAAUAGCCCCAUAUCCACCACUUCUUCACUUUGUCUGCAAAUUCAAAAAAGAAAGGGGCAGACCUUUUUUUAAAAAAAAAGAGCAAUAAUAAAUAGUACUGCAUAUAGAAAAAAUGGCGAGGUUAUUCUCUUUGUUUUGUUAAAAAAGAAUGGUGAGAGUGUACCUCUUACUAGAAUAAAUCCACCCAACACCAUAAAGCUUAGCAGGAUGAAUCCUCCAAAGACGUUUGCAAUAAUCAUGUUCCUUGCUGCCCCACCAACGAAUCGGAAGAGUGAUGUUGCCAUCUGAUUGAAUGCUAACAAAAGAAGAUACUGCUUGAAGAACCUAGCAUUCCACAAAGCUAGGAUGGUAAGUGAAGGCCUGUGAUGAAUAUUUGGUUAACAAGAUAACCUUAGUCUCUCAUCAAUCUCACCUGCCUACAUUUGGGUCAAACCCAAUGACAUAGUAUGCCAUGAAAACAAACCCACCAACCUCAACAAAAGAGAUUGGGAUCCUAAGGAUCCAUGUGGGUAUGGUGCAGGCCCAUGCUGGAAAGAAGAGGAGAUCUCUUUGCUUGAAGAACACUGGCAGCUUAAUGACAGUGAGUGCAAGCUCAGAAAAUCCAUUGAACAUGAUUGUGAUCACCGUAAAGAAGAGCGCACCGAAGUAGAUACCACCAUCAGUCACUGAGUCAUGGUGCAUCUUAUUACGAAAGAAGAUAGUCAUUCCCAUUAUGGACAUCAUCAUCAGCUGACAUAUCAAAACAAAGUCAGGCAUUGCAGCUAUUGUUCACACCAUCUUACUAUGUUUGAAGUAGAAUUUCUAAUGACCUGCAAAGUUUUGAAGAUGUAGACAAAGGAAUUCCUCUUCAUAAGCAAGAUUUCUCGGUCAAUGUUUGCUUUCAACAGCUCCCAGCUACUAACACCAUAUCUUGAGGUGGUCAGAGAAGAGGGAUGGUUUUUGCACUUGUCGAAAGGAACAACUAGCUCAUUUGCUAUAGCUCUCCCAACAUGGAAAGACUGGAAUGCAGAUGCAAAAUCCUUAACUGACACGUAUUGGUACGGCUUGUCAUGCCGCACCCAGUAUUGCUUUUGAUCUUUCCUGGACGUCACCUGCUCAGCGAGCCCAUGCAUGAAGAUUGUUACAAGAAGCAAAGUAUAUGGUUGACACCAUAUUUCAGAACAAAGAAUGUGUUUGUCUACGUACUUCUUGCAAAAAGUCAGCCACACCCUUCCUCUCAGGACACUUGAACCCAAGAGACGAGAAGAAUUCGAGCACGCUUUCUCGGGGGCCCUGAUACACAAUCUGCCCAUCCGAGAGCAGUAUGAUAUCGUCAAAAAGAUCAUAUGUCUCGGGCGCAGGCUGUAGCAAGGAGAUGAGAGCUGUGCCACCGAGGUUGUGGAUUGCCUGUCUAAGUGACUUAAUGAUCUGGAAUGUAGUGGAGCUGUCAAGCCCAGUCGAAAUUUCAUCCAUGAACAGUGCAUUGGCCGGACCAACAAGCAUCUCGCCUACAGGAUUGUAGCUAGUCACAACAUGUUUUUACUACUCCUAGCUAAUGAUCUGAAUUGAAGUUAAUAUUUUGCUUUUAGAGAACAUGAAGGAGAGAGCCAUAUAUCUAUGUAAGUAAAAGAAAAGUUCAACACAGACUGCUAAAUAAAAAUGAGCAUUAUAAACCUAGAAUAUGAGCUAGUAAAUUAGAAACAAACCACACAAGCUGGAAUUUUUUUAAAGGAAAUGGAGGGGCCGAAGCCCCUACAAAAAUUUAUUAAACUUUCCAAGUUCAAAGUACAAAUAACAAAAACAAAAACAAAAACAAAGAAGCACUUACGGUACAAAAAAAGGAGAGGAAGCAAAAUAAACUGGAAAGGAAAAUUACAAUAAUUUUUGGAUCCAUAAGUCAAAGAUUAUAGAUGGAAGCAUGGUAAACAGAAAGGCAGGUUACCCGUUAUUGAAAUUAUGUCUAUCUCUACCUGUUGUGACACGCUUCCGUUGUCCACCAGAGAUGCCCCUCCACAUCUCAUCUCCCACCAUCGUGUCAGCACAUAUUUCUAAUCCUAAUAUCUGCAAUACCAGAUGUAUGAAUGUUGAAUAAUGAACAAGAUGCAUUAAAAAAAUGAAUAAGAAAACUUUGGUAGCUCGAUCUGAAACCACCAACGGUUGUAAGUCAAAUACCUUCAGUAUAUAGUCACAGAUCACAUUUGCUUCCUGUCCUCGCAUUGAACAAGCCUGAACAAGAUGAGCGAAAAAGGUAAGCUAUUGUCCUUAGCUACUGUGCAAGUUAUCACAAAAAUAGAACCAAAGCCAUAAGAUACUCUUGAUUUAUCUAAGAUUGUAAAUCCAUGCCUUCAUGAAUGCAUCGAUAUCGGUAUCAGGCUUGAUAUUUCCUGCCUUCUCCCGCCUUGAAAGCUCAGCCAACAAAUCUGCCAACAUAAUAACUCAAACUUGGUAAAAUACAUCAAUUAAACAUGCCAAUCCUGCUGAAUCUGCAAGCAGCAGAAAUGAAGGCCAAACCCUUGUGAUUAGUUGUUCAGACUUCAGAGUCAUACCGAAGCGAGUGCCAACACCUUGACAACGUGCAGAGAAUUCAAGCGUCUCUCUAACAGUCAUCUCUCCAAUGUGAAGGUCAUGCUGGCUGAUAUACGCGGCUGUCCUCUCCGGCACAAACUCAUCCAUUUCAUGCCCAUUGUAGGUCACUUUGCCUGAAACCUGCCCAUCAUUUGACCCAAUUAUUACCCAAUGUCGUAUGUACCAAAGGUCACUGUGAACCGUUGUAUUUAUACAUGAAGAAUGGUGCAAUAUUUUAGACGUUGCCCCUCCAAAAAGCUGUCCUAGUUAUUGGCUGAUUAUUUUGUGCUAAGUUGAUGUGUGUGUGCUAAUAAUUUUAAAUCUCUCACUAUAGCUGCCGCUAUAGCCCGCUGUAGUCUUUUGAAGUAAGAUACCACUAUUUGUGUUCAAGUACAAUUUAGCCGCUAUAUUCGGUUAUAGCCCGAUUUAGCUCCGCUAUUAGCUGUUUUAGACAAAGUCGCUAAACACCUUAGCCCCGCUAUUUAAAACCUUAAUUAAUAUGAAAAAGUCUGCAGGAACCUUUAAUUAUGGCCAACUUAACGUGAUUGAUUAUAUAUACUAGAGUGAAUUUACUUUUACAAACCUUGAGGUCUUUAUCGAGCCUCCCGGCCAAGGCGAGCAGCAAGGUUGUUUUCCCUGACCUGGGCGGACCUAACAGCAGAGUCAUUCUACAAAUGGAACGAGCGUCAGGCAAUACCAUGUCCCAUGCCACCAUCCGGCUCGGACUCAAACAGCAACCAAGAUCAGGAACUUCUUGAGAAUUCAUCAAAAGCUAGCUGAUGUUAACCUGCGGGGCUUGACGAUGCCGCUGACGUCGUGCAGGAUAGGAAUCGCCUGCUUCCGGCUGCGGCGCACGUGCAGCGCGUUGGCGACGUCCUCGAGCUUGUUGGUGAUGGAGUUGAGGACGGUGGGGAGUCCGCUGGAGCCGACGCGCACGUCCGCCUCCGCGCUUAGGUGCUCGAACCGCACCUCGAUCGUGGGCAUGUCGAUCCCGACCCUGCACGCGCGCACGGCGGCACGAGCAGCGCAAAUUAAAACGUGAAGCACAACGCACAUCCUAGCCGAGCUGUAUGUAUAGGAGCAUGCACGUGAUGUGUGUGUCCAGUCCACGUCCACUCCAGCAGCACGUACGCACCGUUCGACGCGUUCCUUGAUCUUGAGCAGGAACCGCUCGUUGUCCUCGUCGGCGACGCGCACGAGGCGCUCCAGGAGCGCGCGCCUCUCGCGCGGGCCGAGGCCGAGCACGUCCACCACCUGCGGGGCCGCCUCCCCGCCGCCGUCGCAGUCGCCGCCGCCGAGCGGGAGGAUGGCGCGGUGGAUGCGGUCACAGGUAGGCAGCCUCUCGAGCGCAGCCCACCGCAGCGCCUCCUCGUCGUCCUCCUCCUCCCUCCGCGAAGAGGAGCGCGAGAACGCGUCGUCGGGCGCGCGCCACCACGCGGAGGGGCGGCCCGACCCGGACCCGCCGCUGUUGCCGCGCAUGCUUGUUGCCACCUUCUGGAGCUCCGCCGCCGCGUUCAUACUACCCGCCGCGGCGCUACGCACGCACGCCCGCGGACUGAGCGCCGCAGCCCGAGCAGCCGAUCGAGACACCGUCGUGUGGUUGUUGUGGCGUGGCUUUGCAGCGUUUCCCAGAUGGUUUUGCGGGGUGCGAAUGCGACGACGCCGAGGCUGUUGGGGAGAGAGGAGGAAAGGGUGCGGGGUUUUUGUAGGCAGCGGCAACGGGGAGGGGAGAGUGGCAGACUGGCAGGUACCUGUCGCAUGAUACUUCCUCGGUCCAAAAAAAAAUACAACUCUAACAUGAUGUCAUGCAUGUUUUAGCUUAAUAAGUUUAAUCAAUUAUACAAAGAAAAAAUAUUAAAAUUUAAAGGCAAAUUUUACUGUGGAGCAUUGGAUAUAUACGUGUAAUUGGCCAGUUUACACUGCCACACCGAGAAUUUGCCAAAAGAUACCCCAAAUUCAUGAUUAUUUUUGUCAAAGUUUGGUGGACGUGCUUUCGCCGUCCCUGUUAUUACCGUAUCCGUGUCUCUGUCUGUCAAUCGAUGAUCUGAAGUUCUGAACCACACGCCAGCAUCCGUCCGCGUCCAUCACCCUCGCACCAUUCGUCUCUUCACUUCAUAUUCAUCACAAGUGAUAGGAAGAUAAGAUUCCUAUACUUUGUACCGCGCACAUAAAAGCUAGAUCCUGUAAACAGCGGAAGAGUCACAAGCUACCAUAAUAGCAUAUAAUCAGCGGAACCUAUCAAUAUGCCUAGGAGAUUCCUAUACUUCGUACCUCGGAGAGGCGCCAUAAACAGCGGAACCUCUGUCAAUAUACCUCAACCUACUUCAGCUAUGAAGUUCAAACAUCUAACCCAUUUGCAUUGAUAAGUGCAUACUAUAUAAUAGCUAAGAGUCUAUUUGAGAUACUCCACUAUUGAAAAAAUGAAUUUGAAUCUAAAAUUCAUCAUGAAGUAGCUCCACUAGUGAAUCUGUCAAGGAACUAUCUGGCUACACAGCAACUCCAGAUCCACGCAAGGGCAUUUUCGAUCAAAUAUUCAGAAUUGCUCUUAUCUAUAGUCUUUCUCUCUAUCUCACUGACAUCUGGACCCAUGCAUCAGUAGUGAAAAAAAGCCACGACCUUUUCUUUGCAGAAGAAAAAUUGUAUUGGGUGUGCAGGAACGGCGCUAGCGUGUGUGGAUGGGUAAUUUGUGUAUAAUCUACUACCUCUAUUCCAAAUUACAAAAUGUUGUGGCUUUUCUACAUGUAUUGUUUUUAUUAUGCAUUUAGAUAUACACUAUAUCUAGAUAUAUAGUAAAAGAAAUAUAUCUAGAAAAGCCAAAAUAUCUUAUAAUUUGAGACGGAGAGAGGACGUAUUUUCUUCUUUUCUUUCUUUACUGAAAAAUGGCAAGAUGGCAUCUCGUGUUUUCCAAGGAGCAGAGCAAAGCACGGCUGGGUAUUGCAUGCUCGAUUUGCGCAACAUAGUGCUUGCGCGUGUCUGCGUGGGGAGGUUGCACGGGCACUCACGCUUGGCUCGGCCAUGGGCAGGACCUCGCAGUUGCCAGAGCUCGCGGCAGCGGUGCGAACCGCAGUGGUGUUCGGCUAGAGUUCAGGAAGAGCUCCAAUCCGAAGCCAGUGAGGCCGAUUGAGAGUCCAGGUAGGAGCACGGUGGUGUGCGGCAGUGUUGUGCCGUUCUGAGUGGGCGUGGCCCUAGCUAACGUGUCAUUAGGGCGGUGAGGCAUGCGAGGGCAGGGCCAGGGCCGGUGCUGAGGCAUGGGGACAGGGCUCUUGUUGACAUUGAAUGUGAUCCAAGCCAACACAAUAGUAGGACCUUGGAUGCCUAAAGAGGUCACACACAACCUGCAAUGCAGCAAGAACACAGGGUAAUAGAUCAAACUGAUCUAGAGACCAGUAAAAUCGAUGUAGAGCCCGUUCUUAGCUGAAAACGCUCUCAAACCUCUUCUGAGAAGACUCAUCAGGGAGAAGUACAUAGAGGAUCUCCUAGGACCAGUAAAUCCAUCAAGGAUGCCAACAAAUCUCACCGAACAGCAUGAGGGAUUGAGAGAGAGAAGUAAAGGGGCAAAAGAGUUGAUAGAUUGGUUUAUUGAUGAUUGGAUACAUGCAAAAUCAAUUGGCCAUGAACCUCUCGUAUUUAUAGAGAAAGUGGUAUUAUACAAGUCGGCUAAGCCGACUUUCACAGGGCUGAGCAGGCCUCUUGCCCGUCUGGAAGGGGGGAGUCGACUUAGCAACUCUAGUUGUUGGCUAAGCCGACUGGCGCUGUUUGAGUCAGCUAAGCCGACUAGAGGUAGCUCGUCGUCUUUUCUAUGUGUUUUGUUCACUAGUUCGCCGUGUUGUUCGACCUCCAACAUGUCAUUUAUAGUGCCUAAAAUCAUCUCAGAACAUUUUUCGGCGUCAACAUAUGCCCUCUUGUUUUCAGGUGAAUGAUGCAUAAACCUAAAAACACUUAAUCAAACAAACCAAACAAUGGUGAUACUCACCUCAUCGGCUGCUCAACUGCUAAGGGUGAUGCAUAUAUCAGAUAUUUUUAUUCUAAGGGUGAUACAUGAAUCGGUCACUGUUCGGAGAGCACUUAGGCUUCUUGCUAAACACUUGGAAAGUACUUUUUCAAGUACCUCCCACUGAAUGCCCAUGUAAGAUGUUUACCAUGCUAUGUCUUUAGCAAAUAUGAAUUACACCAUCGUUGCCUCCUAUGUUGCUAUUAGAUUGAUUCUUGUUUCGCUUCGCCUUUCCCAAUAGAGUUGUCAAAAAGUAUAUUGACAUUGAAAGUGAUCCAAGCCAACACACCAUCAGGGUCUUGGAUGCCCAAAGAGAUUGCACACAACCUGUAACGCAGCAGCUAAAGACCAAUAAGAUCGAUGUAGAGCCCAUUCUUGGCCAAAAACACUCUUGAACCUCUCUCGAAAAGACAUGUUGGGGUGAAGCACAUGGAGGAUCACCUAGAACUAGUAAGGCCAUCUAGUAUGCCAAAAAAUAUCGCUGGGAAACUUGUUAAAUAGCAAUAGGGGUUGAGAGAGAAGUAAAGGGGCAAAAAGAGUUAAUAGAUUAGUUUUUCAAUGAUGGAUAGAUGAAAACUUAAUCGGCCAUGAACCUCUCAUAUUUAUAGAGGGGGUGGUCUUAUCCUAGUAGGAAAUAAGUCCAAAUCAUAAUUUCUAAGUUUCCCACAUAAGAAAAUUUACUUAAAACUGACCUUUAGAUGAAAUUGAGUCGGUUUCUAGACAUGAGUCGGCUAAGCCGAUUGGGGAAUCGGCUAAGCCGACUUUCAUGGGGCUGAGCAGGCCUCCUUACCAGCUAGAAGGGGGAGUCAGCUUAGCCGACUCUGGCGGUCGGUUAAGCCGACUAGCACUAUUUGAGUCAGCUAAACUAACUAGCUAGAGGUAGCUUGCCGUGGCUCACUGUCUUUUCCGCGUGUUUUGUUCGCCAUUUUGCCACAUUGUUCGACCUCCAACAUGUACAUAAUGUUUAUAACUUGUUCAUGGUGCCUAAAAUCAUCUCGGAACAUUUUUGGGUGUCAACAAUUCCUUGGCCAUGGAUGAGUGGUGGAGAGAGAGAGAGAGAGAGAGAGAGAGAGAGAGGUGCGGACGGGAUAUACCAAGAAGAGCGUCGAGAGAAGAAGGGAAGAUGGCACAAAAGAAAUAGAACGAACUGGUGUAUUGUUUUACUAGUGAUAGUGGUGGGUAAUUUUUUUUCCUAACUCCAUGAAUUCUAUUUUGGUGGAGCACCCUUUGAGAUCCACCAAAUUCGUGAAUCUAGCCCUUAUAUCCACCUUUUUGGUGAAUCAAGAUUUGAUGGAGCUAGAGUGUUUAGGUUACUUUUUGCAAGUGAAGUUGUUUUUGGUGGAUCUGAGCUGGUGGAGCUGUCCCGAACAAGCCCUAACUUGGCCUAGUGUUUAGAGAGCAUAGUGUGAUGAUGUAGGCUUGCUCCAAAUAAAUCUUAUUAUUGUUGCUUACAAGAGUCCUUCUACUGGGUGUUCCUGAGAUUUGUAGGAGAAAUGUACCAAGAAGUGAAGGUAGCCCUCUCAAGAUUUACUGCACUUGCAAGUCCUGUAAGGAAGAGAAAUUGGGAAUAAGCAUGUAUGCAAUCCUUGGUGUGGUUUUGUUCUUUUUUGACCUAGAAUUUCAUUGUUGACCUCACCAUAAACACUGAUCUCUAUCUGGAAGAAAAUGUCAACUACCUGUGCUUCAAUUCCUGUUUAAUAUACACUAGAUAUUUUGUUUAUUGAGUUUUGCAAGAAGCCCAUAUGGUUGGCCUAUUUUCAAAAUUGUUUUUCUAUGCCCUAGAACUUGUAAGUGUUAGUCUGUCAACUAUUUUGGUGAUAUAUAUAUUUUAGUUUCAAUGCUUAUUGCUCGUUCAAUCAAAUGACGAUUGCACGAACCUAUCUACUAUAUAUACAACUAGAAAAAGACUCAAAUAGACCUAUCUACCCGGUGGUGAAACUCCCUGUGACUGAUUUGAAACGGUCAACCAAGUGCCAAUUCCUCUUCCAGAUAAUUGGAAAUUGGAAAUUGGCAUCACGUGCUGACUAUUACUAGGAAACUAAACUUUCCAUGUUGCAGAGCUGAGGGGAUGACGCACUUCAUUGCUUUCCCUCACUUCACAUCCCUCUCUUCAGUUAGACCAAUCUUAAUGGGGGUUUCUAGAUAAUUUCAUGGGCAUUAAAUAUGCUAAUUAUCAUGACACUAUAUUAAUGAAGAGAGAAAGAGAGAUGAUGAAAGUUUCAUGGGGAUAAAAGUCAUCUGCACUAUUUCCAAAAUGUGAUUUCGUUGAUAACUAGGAUAUAAAACCUCCAUUGAGACUGGCCUUAUAAGUUGUUCUAAUCAUGCUUUAUUGUCCACUAAUCCACCACCAUCAUCGGGAAAUACUAUCAUGAGCUCUUCAUCCGUGAUGCCGACCGAGGUCGCAAGGUUAGUGAUCAUCUGGUCUGUAAUACUUUCUAAUCUAGUUAUUGUCUUAGGAUGAAAAUUUUAGGAGAUUUUAGUUCCCAUAAAACUACAAGGCUAUCUUAUAUGUAUCAUGGACAAAAUGUGCUAGAAAUAAAUAGUCUUAAUGAACACGAUUUUCACAAUAUGAACUAAGAUUGUCUCAAAUUCACAUCAAAACUUGAACUAUAUUCUAAUUACUCAUGUUUCACGAAAACACAUGUAAUAUUGCUGAUAGGCUACAAAUGAAAUAUUCGGAACAUCAUGCUCAAAUAUAUUGUUUUUGGUAGCAUACAACACGUGUUCAAACUUGCGGAUUAUCUUGGAAUUUGUUUUGGUGAUUUUUGAAGCUGCUGCGUGCUUUGACUGACGAGAGCAUCUCAAUGUUCUGUAAAUGAAGAUUUAAAAGAUGCAUAUGUAAUAGUAGUAUAUAAGACUGUCUCCAACAACUAAUGCAUCACAGCACCUAAACCCAAAACGCGCACUUGAUAGUCACUUUAUUAUCGGAAGAAAACGAGGUCCAACUGAAGACACAAAGGAUAGACCUGUUUUGGGUGGGUUGCAAUGGGGAACACAAAUAUAAGUUACGUUGCAUGCUUCUUCUCGCUCCACUUAUGCUGCUUAAAAUUGCUUUUGCCAUGCUUCAUUUGUUGUUGGAAAAGAGAACUUUUAGUUUUGUGACCUUUUGCCAUAGGGUGACCCAAAACAUUAAAUGGGUCUCCUGUUUAGGUUUAUGCUAUUGGAGAUAGUCUAACACGUGGAUCGCGAUGUACAAUUCAAAAUAUAAAAGAUUACUUUUGUUUUGUGAUUUGUAUGCAUUGUGAAUUUUUGUACAUAUGAGAUGUGAAUGUUCUACAUUUGUGAGAGGAUAGAAUCAAUAACUCAUACAAUUAAGUUUAUGAUUAGCACUAUAAAAUAUAUUUAUUAUGUAAAUAAAUAAAGAAUUAUAUAUUAUUUAAAUAAAGAACUUUGUCAAUGUUUCCCUACCGUUAAUGAACCAUAGGGAAAUCUAUUUUACAAGUUGGAUACAACACCGUGACCUUGCCCUCUCCUUCCUGGCCGCCGGCAAGCUCAAGAUGAGAGGAAAAGAUGCUGCAAGAGGAGGAGAAAGAAAAAGAAGAAGGCUGACAAGCAGGGUCCACUCGUAAGUGAGAUAGAGUGACCUUAACAACAUGGUUUUUGGCUUCUCUCAUAGCUUUUUAUGAAAAUGAGAAAGACGUACUCCGUAAAUCUUAACGAACUUAAUUGUUUGUUUUAUUUUUUUAUUAAUUUUAUCUUUUUUUAUUUUACUUUAGCAUUAGCACAGUAGCACGGGCUACUAGUGCUGCUGCUGCCAACAAGUGCAAAUCAUCCCGAUCCCUACAUUACGAAAUCAGGACCCAGCUCUGACCAGGGAUUAGGCCACGUCACCAGGAAAUUAUUGGUCGAUCCUGAUCGGGGCGUUUAACCUCAUGGCACUGGCAGAGCACAUCCAGAGCCUUCGUCCCACCGCUAUGAACCGCCGCCUCCCUCCGCGGUUCCGCCAGUCCUGGACACUAGCUAGGCAGGCCCGCUUGACUGCGUCGCCGCCGACGGCUCGCUGCCCCGCCGCCGGCCGAUUCGAAGAUGAGCCGCCAGCCGCCCAGGGACGCUCGGAGGAGCUGAUGGGAGCUACAUACGGCGCAGGGCUGCAGCUGUAGGGGGGCGGGAAUUCGGAGAGGGCGCUGGCGCACCGAGUGCGUCUCCUGCUCGAUCGCCGCCAGGCCGGCCGCUCGCUGGCCACCGUUUAAUUUGGUACUCGCCAGCCGAAGUGCGUCGACCGCGCCUGGGUAAUGCGGGAGUCUGAUGCACCGUUAGGGUUAAUUAGCAACUGAUGCACCGUUAGGUUAUCACGGGGAGGUAAGUUGGGCUGUUUACAAUUCGUAGGUCGUAUCCAAAAUUCGUAGUACGGCCCGGAUACGUACGUAUAUAUCCGGUAUAGUACAUCAGCGGCGUAUCGGUAUCCAGAACGUAUAGUAUCUUCUGCUAAACAAAAAGAACGUGUGUAGUAUCCGCGGACACGUCGAGAUCCUGCAGGUACCAUGUUAACCCACACAUGGUUUAUAUAUAUGAAAAAUUAUAAAAAUGAGAUACGUCGAGAACUCGAGAUCCUUAAUUACCGUCCUCUCUCUUGGAGUUUGAUUUGGUUAUUGUACUAUAAUGAGUUUGAUUUGGUUAUUAUACUAUAAUUAACUGUUUGUCUCACUGAUGUGCACUGGCACUGUGCACAUGGGUGGACGAGAGGAUCAUCAGCAUGGCUGUCAUCAAUGCCAAUGAGAUGCCAGGGCAUAAGAUCAGCGUGGCUGUAAUCAGCCAAUCUGAUUUUUUUUUAGAUAAUGGAAAAUUCUGGCUUCAGUCCUCUUCAAAGGAAAGGGAUCAGUCCAAAAUUAAACAAAUACAUCCACUUUAAACGCUUACAGCAGUUAUGCAAAUUAUUGUAAACAGAAUAUGCGAACAACUUCUGGCGUAGGAUUCCAAGACUCAGGGCUCAGGCACGCCUCAAGCAUCAAUCAUCCUUGAGCUAUUAGCUAUAAUUUAUAGAGACCGGAACCAGAACCAUUCAACUCAUGCGAAACAAAGGUUUCCCUGAACUAUGGAUCAAAUGGAUGAUGAUGAUUUUUAAUUCUGGUACCUCUGCAGCUCUACUCAACGGAGUACCAGGUAAAGUCUUCCACUGUAAACGAGGAGUCAGACAAGGAGAUCCUUUAUCGCCGCUCCUUUUUGUUCUUGCUGCAGAUUUCUUACAAAGUAUCCUCAAUGCAGCAAAACAUCAAAACUUAAUUACCUUGCCCCUCAACCUACCACAUGAUCAUGAUUUCCCAAUCCUUCAAUACGCGGAUGACACUCUAAUUUUUAUGGAAGCAGAUGCCAGGCAGUUAUUUUUCUUGAAAGCCAUUCUGAACUCCUUUGCUGAAUCAACAGGUCUGAAAGUAAAUUAUUCAAAAUCAAUGAUGGUCCAAUUAACGUUUCUGAUGAACGGCUUGAUAUCUUAGCCCAGACUUUUGGAUGUUCCAAGGGCUCGCUACCUUUUACAUAUCUUGGUCUACCUUUAAGCCUCACUAGACCAUCAGUGGCAGAUUACUGGCCCUUAGUCAGUAAGUGUGAAAGAAGAUUGUCAAGUGUUUCAUCCUUUCUUAAUGAAGCUGGCCGGCUGCAGAUCACAAAUGCAGUGCUUACUGCCUUACCCACCUAUGCCAUGUGUACUUUUCUUCUACCUAAGACGGUAAUCAAGCAAAUUGAUAAAUUCAGAAAACACUGCUUGUGGAGAGGUUCGGACAUGAACAGUAAAAAACCAGCAAAAGCUGCCUGGCCCCUUGUUUGUUUACCAAAAGAUAGUGGAGGCCUAGGAGCUUUGAAUCUUUAUAUCCAAAACGUUAGCCUCCUUCUGAAGCAACUCCAUAAAUUUUAUAACAAUCUGGAUAUCCCCUGGGUUCAGUUAAUCUGGAAUUGUUAUUAUCAGAAUGGUGAGCUACCCCAUCACAACAAUAAAGGUUCUUUCUGGUGGAAGGAUGUCCUCAAAUCCAUCACCUCAUACAAAGGUAUGGCCUCGGUCACAAUAUUGGAUGGAUACACUAGUUUCUUCUGGUCUGAUAUUUGGAAUGGAAGAUUAUUUAGCUCACAAUUCCCAGAAUUGUUCUCCUUUGCAAAAGAUAAGCACAUCUCAGUUCAAUCGUUCAUCUCUAUGCUGGCCAUAGAAGAGCCUGAUGAAUUGUUCCAUCUGCCCCUAUCCACCCAAGCAUAUGGACAGUUUCAGCAGCUCAAGUCAAUUAUCGCUAAUAUCACACUUCAGGCUGGAAAUGAUGUUUGGUCCUACAUUUGGAAUUCCAACAUCUUUACCUCAAGCAAAGCAUAUCUUAACCUAAUAGGCACAAGACAGGUGCACUCAGCUUUUAAGUGGUUAUGGAAAUCAAGUUGUCAACCAAAACGAAAGUUUUUCUUUUGGCUACUGCUACAAGACAGAUUGAGUACACGUGAAAUUUUAAAACGGAGGAAUAUGGAGCUACAAUGCUAUGAUUGUGUUCUUUGUCAUCUGGACACUGAAGAAAGCCUGAUGCACCUCUUCUUCUCAUGCCCCUUUUCCAUGAGCUGUUGGAACACUCUGGGCUUAGCUCCAAUGAUACUCGACGACCUCUUCCAGACCCUUUCAGCCUUCCGAAUGCAUCUGCAACAGCCUUUCUUCAUGGAGAUCAUCAUCAGUAUGUGCUGGGCUAUUUGGUCUGCAAGAAAUGACAAUAACUUUAGGGGUUUACAACACUCAAUACCCUCCUGUAAAGCCUCGUUCAGAAGGGAACUAACUCAGAUUAAGUUUAGAGUUAGAAAUAAUCUAAAAGCUCCUUUAACCCAAUGGAUAGAGCACUAUGUGUAAUCUUUAUGAUUUUUUUUCCUUUCUUUCUUUGUGUCCUGAGAGACACUCACAGAAUGUAAUGUACUGUCUCUGUUUUAUCAAUAAAAUUCCAGUAGGGGGCUUUCCCCUCCUGAUCUUUCAAAAAAAAGUAUGUCCCUCUGAGUAGAACAUGCAAAAACGUCUCGGGUGAUAUUUAUUAAACACUGUAUCAUUCUUUGUUAGGCCAGUCUCAGUGGAGGUUUCACCAGGAUGUCAUGCACAUUUAUUAGAGCAUCAUGUCAGCAAAACUGCACUUUUUGCAUGAAAAGAAGAGGAGAAAGAAGGAAGUAGUUUCACCAUGGUGAAACUCCGCUGGCGUUGUUUCCCACGUGGUGAAACAGGAUGAAAUCCCCACUGAGGACUAAAUCGUUUCACCAUCUUGCAUGUGAUCCAAUCAUUUUACAGUAAUUAAAUGUUUUGCUUAGCCUAGGAAACAUCAAGGUGAAACUCAUGCAUUGUGGAGGUUGUUUCAUUGUUCGUUUCAUUGAUGCUCUGUCAGCAGAUUUGUUUUGGAAACAGUGCAUUGAAACGAGCCAUUGAGACUGGCCUUAGCCAAAUUGUUGAACAAAGAGCAGCACCCCCGAUCAAUAAGGCCAAAUUAUGGUUUUUGUCUCCUAAACUUCGACCAACUGCCAAAAAAGAUGGUACAAAUGUUGGGACGGCUUAAUACCGAACACAACGUGGACCGCAUGCCAAAAAAACGGGCAUAAUGACAUUCAAAGAAUAAAUGCUGGAUUGUUUCAUUUUUAUCACAAAAGCAGCAAACUCUACUACCAUUCCAGUUCAGUGAAAAUCACUUCCCCUAAUAAAUACCAGUACCACAUGAAGAUUUUUAUCUUUAGAGAGGAACUUUUUAUGAGAUUUUAUGCACAAAGUGUCAAAGUCAGUGGCCAAUAGAACUGGUAAAUUGGUGACAAAUUAAAGUCAUCAGUGACAAUAAAAUGGGUCAGUUGCCUCCUUUCAGUGUCAGCCAAAAAACAGCGGAACUUGUCAAUAUACUCAAGCUACUUCAGGUACUAUAGAGUUCAAACAUCUAACCCAUUUGCAUUGGUAAGCGCACACUACAUAAUAGCUAACUUGGCCUAUUGUUAAGAGAGCAUAGUUUGUAACAUGUCCGAUGACAAGUCCCCAAGCAGGGGGCAAUGGGCAAGCCACGGCCCAUGAGAGGGGCGCGUGCCCAGGCACGACGGCGUCGCCUCUAUGUCUUCCUUCCCCCGGAAGAAAUUAGAAGGAAUAAAUAGAAAUAGAAAGUAAAUUAAUAGAUUAGAGUUUGAUUUGGUCAUUGUACUGAUGUGCACGGGCGGUAUGCACAUGCAUGGGAAAUUGGGAAGAUCAGCAUUGGCUGUCAUUGUACUAAUUAGCCGUUUGAUAAGAUCGCAAGGGAGAAGUACUCCCCCUGUCAGGGACAACAAAAAAAUUGUUGUUCAGUUACAGGUAAUAAGAGUUUUAAUAAUUUAAUAAGGAUACUGCAGGUAAGAGUUUUAAUAAGGAUUACAUCAUUGGCUACUACGUACGGGACACCUCUUCGGUAGUAGCCUGUACUUCCACACGGUCGGCCGCGCGGUUGCAGGCGGCAUGCCAUUGAACACAACAUCAUUUCGAUGCUUCCAUAUCAUCCAGCAAACAAGUUGCAAGAACAAGAAGGCGUCGGAGUGCUGGUCAGUAAUCGUUGUUGGCCUUCUCAUAGGCCUUGUUUAGUUCCAAAAAAAUUUGCAAAAUUUUUCAGAUUCUCCGUCACAUCGAAUCUUUAGACACAUGCAUGAAUUACUAAAUAUAGACAAAAAUAAAAACUAAUUACACAGUUUGGUCGGAAUUGACGAGACAAAUCUUUUGAGCCUAGUUAGUCUAUGAUUGGACAAUAUUUGUCAAAUACAAACGAAAAAGCUACAGUGUCCAUUUUGCAAAAUAUUUUGGAACUAAACAAGGCCAUAGUCCAGAUCGAGCGAACAUGAGCAUUCUCAUAUCCAAAGUAAGGAUGGGAUAGUCCUAUACUCUCAUAUUUUUUUUCAUUUAAUUCAUUUAGUACAAUAAAAAAGAACUGUAAAUACCGGUUUGGAGCGUCAUCCCCAUCUUUAAUCCAAAACCAAGGCGAGCCCACACUUGGCAAAACGGGCAUCGGAGGAUUAGGUGGUCUGUAGAUGGGGCAGGCAUAUGUGGGCCUUGUUUAGUUCCGAAAAGAUUUCGGAUUUCGGUACCGUAGCAUUUUCGUUUUUAUUUGAUAAAUAUUAUUCAUUCAUGUACUAACUAGGCUCAAAAUAUUCAUCUCGUGAUUUACAGUCAAACUGUGUGAUAAGUUUUUGUUUUUGUCUAUAUUUAAUGCUUCAUGCAUAUGCCGUAAGAUUCGAUGUGACAGGGAAUCUUGAAAACUUUUUGGAUUUCGGAGUGAACUAAACAAGGCCAUGGUCCUCCAAGAUGCUCUUCUUCAAGUUCAUCAGGCCGUGUUUAGUUCGUGAACCGAAAAAUUUCGGAACACUGUAGCACUUUCGUUUGUUUGUGGUAAUUAUUGUUCAACCAUGAACUAACUAGGCUUAAAAGAUUCAUCUCGUAAAUUUCGACUAAACUGUGCAAUUAGUUUUUAUUUUUGUCUAUAUUUAGUACUCCAUGCAUGCGUCUAAAGAUUCGAUGUGAUAGAAAAUCUUGAAAAAUUUUGGGUUUUUGGGUGGAAGUAAACGAGGCCUCAUUCGCUCUUUGCACAAGAAGCAAACAGAAAAACUGUACUUUUGGAGGUGCACGAUUGCACCACACGAACUUGUACAAGUCUGGCCUUGUUUAGAUACAUCCAAAAAUCCAAAACUUUACAAGAUUCCCCAUCACAUCGAAUCUUACGACACAUGCAUGGAAUAUUAAAUAUAGAUAAAAAAGAUAACUAAUUACACAGUUUACCUGUAAAUCACGAGACGAAUCUUUUAAGCCUAGUUGCUCUAUAAUUAGAUAAUGUUUGUCAAAUAAAAACGAAAGUGCUACAGUGUCAAAAUCUAAAAAGUUUUUGGAUCUAAACAAGGCCCGCGGAUUUGUUAUGAAAAUCUAUGGGCUUGCAUAAAUGCGUAUAUAAGGCUAGUCUCAAUGCAUAUUUCAUGAGAGUGUCGUGCACAUUAAAUAAGGUGCUAUAUAAGUAAAAUUGCUAAUUUGGCAGAGUCAUCAUGCAUGUUUCAUGAGAGUGUCAUGCACAUUAAAUAGGGUGUCACAUAAGCAAAAUUGUUGAUUUGGCAGGGUCAUUAAAUGAAGGAGUUUCAUCCCCAUGAAACUCAUGUCGCUCGAUUACCUAGUUUAUAGUCUUGGUAACUGUGCUAUGAGACUAUGCAUUGAGAUUGGUCUAAAUGAAGGAGUUUCAUCAGAUGAGAGGGGAGUUUCAUCCCCAUGAAACUCAUAUGGCUUGGUUACCUAGUGGUAACUGUACCAUGAAACUAUGCAUUGAGACUGACCUAAAUUUACAUAAGAUUUAUGGGUUCACAUUAAAAGCCGAUCCUAGAGUUAGAAUCUCACAUUUACAUUAUAAAAUUUUAACUAAAAUAUAUUGCAGAUGAUUUAAUGCAACAAGGAACUACUUCUUACCAAUUAACAUGGGGGUCCCAUAUCUAAGCCGGACCAUAGAAAUAAAAGCUCCCGUUCGUGCCAUAAAAUUUAAUUGAAUUGACUGUAAUUUCUUAAAUAGAACUCAAAUGUCAUGAAGAUAAAUCUGUGCAAGUUAGCACAACAAGCAUAUGGAAAGCUAGAUCUCAGAAAUAAAAGCGCAUGUUCAUGCCUUAAAAUUUUAUCAAAAUUGAUUGAAAUUUAUUAAAUAUGAUUUAAAAUGUCAAGAAGUUAAUCUAUGUAAAAGCAAGGAACCCAAUCUCCAUGUAAAAUCUACAUGUGAGACUCACAUCAAAAGCUAGCUGAACCCAUUUCAAAUCAAAUAUAUGUAAAAAGAACCCAAUCUCCAUCCAUCCAACUCAAUUUUGUAUUAAACCCAACCCAACCCGCUAAGUAAAUCAACUUAUUCCUAUUCAUUCAAUAUGUACCCAUUUAUCCUUAAAAAAAGGACGAGGAUAACCCAGUCGUGCACGGGGCGUAGUGUGCGACCCCACACAUAUGACUCAGACACGCAGCUGUCCCAGCCUCGUCACAACUUAGACACAGCCAGACUCAUUUUCAACGGAAAAGUAAAAUAUUUUCUUUAAAAAGCUAUAACUUUUGAAUAUCGCAUCCAGUUUUAAUUUAGUUUACACAUAUAUGUUCUUCGUGACGAGACAAACAAAACUAGACCGUGCUGCAUAUGUUUCGAAGAAUUUUAUUUUAGUAGCAAUUUAUGUCUAAUAUAUGCUAGGAGAUUUAUCAAAAAGUUACUACCUUUGAAUACUAAAGUUGCUACUCAAAAAAAUAUACAAGUUAUUACAAUAGUAUACACAAAGCUAGGGGAAAAAUCAAAAGGAGUUAAUACUAUGUAAUACUAAAGUUGCUACUCCAAAAAUAUAUUAAAGUUGUUACAUAGUAUACACAUUAAUUAUAAUAACAAGACCUCCACUUGACUAUGUUUCGAAGCAAUUUUAAUUUAAUACCAAUAUAUGUGUAAAAAUAUACUAGGAGAUCUAUAAAACAAGAUGCUAUCAUAUACUCCCUCUAUCUAUUUAUCGGAGUCAUUUUAGGGCAUGCGCAGUGACAAAAGGAGAAAUUAAUUCGGCUAGUAAAAGGAGUUGCAUGCAAACGGUUGAAUUAAUUAGACCAGUGAGAGAAGCCGCAUGUGCUUGGUAAAAGGUGAAAAUAAUAGUCCCUAGCUUAUAUGACUCAGUUUUGAAGAAUUUUUUUCGAUAAGAUGACUCUGAUAAAUGGAUGGAGAGGGUAAUAUUAAACUUGCUACUCAAAAAUAAACUAAUUUUUUUAUGGUCGACUGUUAUUAUGGGAAUAUGAUAAAUUUAUUAUAUAGUAUUUAUAUUGAUAUAAAGGUACUAACACGCAAAAGAGAGUAACGGACCAAAAUAAGACAAACUGCAACCUAGAGGGACAAACUAUUAAUAAAUAUUAUAUAAACUGCCAAUUAGAGGGAUAAGUUCUUAUAAAACACAUUAGAAAAGCCAGGAACAUCUGAUUUGCUGCCAAUUGAGGGCAUUUCUUAAAAAAAAAAGAGGGUAGCAAAAUAAAACACUUGCCGCCAACUGGGGGCAUUUUUUAAAAAAUGAGGCUAGCAAUAUAAAACAAGACAAACUGCAACCUUGGGGCAAGUUAUUAGAACAAACGUAGCAUAUAUAAGGCCUUGUUUAGAUGCACCCAAAAACUCAAAACUUUACAAGAUUCUCUAUCACAUCGAAUCUUGCGGCACAUGCAUGAAACAUUAAAUAUAGAUAAAAAAAGAUAACCAAUUGCACAGUUUAUCUGUAAAUCACAAGACAGAUCUUUUAAGCCUAGUUACUUCAUGAUUGGACAAUGUUUGUCAAAUAAAAAUGAAAGUGCUACAGUAUCAAAAUCCAAAAAGUUUUUAGAUCUAAACAAGGCAUAAGCUGCCAACUAGAGGGAUAAGAUAUUAUAAAUCCACUAUAUAAGCCGAAAAACAUGACUAGCUAAAAUUUAAGGGGCAUUUAUUACAAAGAAAAGAGUAGCACCCAAAAUAAGAUAAGCCCGAGAGGCAAAGUAUUAGAAGAAGCAUUGCAUAAUAAGGUAUCAAUUUAGAGGAUAAGUUAUUAUAAUAAUAUGUAGGAUUUAGGAAUGCAUUUGAAUCUAAAGGAGAUUGAAAACUGAAACUAAAAACAUAUUAAAAAAUAAUAAGACUGAAAACUAAAACAAAAAAGUGAGAAAAAACUUUAAUGCAAACUGAAUCUGGGGAGUGAAUUCUUUUGUGGUAACUUAUGUACGUAAUGGCUAGUGACAUAGCUCAACUUCACUAAUAAUAAGCUGUUUUUUAAAAAAUAGUUUUAUGAGCAAUUUUAUAGGUGAAGUUGAGCUAUUUUGGAAAAAGUGUUUAGUAAAAUAGCUUCACCAACUACUUUAUACAUAGAUGAGAGAGAGAAAUGAGGAAGAGGGCUACAAUAAGCUACUUUUUCAGCUUUCUCCUAACUUAUGUCUUUGUGAGAGAAGAAAAACAGUUUCACCUAUGAAGCUGUUUUAAAAAUAAGUGUUUGGCAAAAAAAAAGAAGCUGUUGUGAGUUAUACCAAACAGAUCUUAUAUACUUAUACGUGAGACAACUAAUAUACGUGAAAGACAUUCGGACCUAAAAGGGAGACAAGUGAGACAAGUGUCUCAAAUGGUUUCAAUGCUACUCCUCUCAAAAAGGGAUGUGGCCCAACUAUGUAUUACUUAUGUAUGUCUCACGGAACGACCCUUCUUGGCUAUAAAAGUUUGUAGCUAUCCAAUUUCUCUAAUACUUUUUUGAGCAUUGAUGCCCUCAGUGAAAUAAUUCUUGUAUUGCUGACAGUGGUCGUCAAUUGCUUGAAUUUUAAAAUCUGACCUCUACAAAAUGCAGAGAUGGGAAUGAUGCGAAGGCAUUAGAGAGGUUCAGGUGAAUUUUGGGAUCAAAACCAGAGAGUAAUGAGCCUUACAUUGCCAGCUACAAUGUUACAACUCAGAGUCCGAAUAUGAGUAUUUCUUUGUGCACAUACAAGCUAACCUUUGUGCCUCUAGGAUGCCCUGAGCGCAGGAUAAUGUGCUUAGAUACAACAGUUAGUUGGAUCCUUACAAGAUAUAUAUAUAUAUAUAUGUAACUGAUUUUGGUUUGCUUACUUUUUAUCUUGACCGUGCCACGAGGUACGUUAAGAGGAGGUAGAGUUUUUUAAAAAUUACAUCAACGGUAAUCCAAGGGUUACCACACUUGAAGAAUUUGUAGAGAAGAAAUAACCUUCGCGUCUUUUUAGUUGAUAAAAACAAAACAGUAAUAUCAUUCUAAUUAAUUACAGAAACCUAAUGCAGCUAGGCACAUACAGUCAUGUGCAGGAGAUGGACUGCUUUGGCUUUCUCAGCUAGAUUUGCAUGUAUCUUCUUCUGUGCUCUGCCUAUACAACCUGCUGAAAUUCUAGCCAAUCCACGCAUUAUAAACUGAAUUUAAUCGAUUUCAAGUGAUCAUGUCAAGAUCUCAUUCUUAACUCGACACACAGUACACACGUUUGUGUUGUUCAAUCAAAAAAAAGUACACACGUUUGUGUUAUACCCUACGAAGAACAAUAAUCUAUAUAUCUACGUCCAAUGCAAAGUCUUUAAAACUCACGCCUGCACGUCCUACCCGAUUCAAUAUGAAGACCAAAACAACAUGUUUGCAUCUAAUACAAAGUUCUCAUAGUUCAUACGUUCAUGUCCAGUUAAGGUUAAACCAUAUAGAAACAUCUAUAUACUAUCAUGACAGCAUCUACCACAAACGUAUCUAAUCAACACAUCAGAAACACAAACACGUCAACCUAUCAACCUAUGACAUUACAUUAACCACUUUGCAAUGCCAAGUUUGACACGUAAGGCCUUUUUUACACAUAUGUCACCGGCCGUCUCACUAGAAAGAAACAUUGGUUAUCAACUGUACUUUUUCUUCCAGCCAGUAAUAUUUUUCUCUCACAAUAAAUUAGCCAACAGUCAUUUCAAUCAUGACUUUUCAGACCAGCGAACAAGUCUGUCAACAUUCUAUUUUAAGGAAAAAUAUGCAAAAUUGAAAAGAAUUGAACAUCAUCACAAAGUGAUUAUACAAUGUCAUGCGCCCAAAACUACAAUCAGUUAAUGAGAAAUUAAAAUAAUCAAUGACAUAAAUUUAACUAGACAAUUCGACCUCUGUUCCUGCUACCGUCCUACUCCAGCGUCUCUUGCCUCGACGAUGAGUUCCCGCAGCGCCCGGCGAGACUCGUCGACAUGGCGUCGCGUGACGAAUGGGUGUGCGAGCAGCUGCGCCACCGUGGCGCGCCGCCUCGGGUCCUUCUGCAGGCACGCUGCCACGAACCCGCGAAGCUCAGGCGAUGCCGACGCCGCCGCACGCUCUGGCGCAGACGGCGGCUCCCCGUCGCAGAUCGCCUGCCUCAGCUUCUCGAACGACGGCCUCACCCCACCUGGGGGCAGAAAAGGGCACCGCCCCAAGAAGAGCUCCAGGACCGUGACGCCGAAGGCCCAGACGUCGGCGGCGAUGGCGCCGCGCGGCUCGGCGUGGGCAUCAGGCUCGAACCGCUCGGGGCUCAAGUACAUGGGGGAGCCAACGGCGACGGAGACCUUGCGGCGCGCGUCGGUGCGGCCGAAUAGGAUCCUGGACACGCUGAAAUCGCCGAUCUUGAUGUCGCCCCGGCAGUUGGCGAGAAGGUUGUCAGGCCUCAAGUCGAGGUGCGCGACGCCGCGGGAGUGGACGUGCGCGGCCACCUCGGCGAGGGCGCAUUCGGGGAUCCCGCGCCCUCCCCGGCGGCCAACGAUGCCGGCGAGCGUCCCGGCGUCCAUGAGCUCGAGCACGUAGGCGGGCUCGCCGCCGGCGCCGCUGAGAACCGCGUGGCAGCGCACGACGUGCGGCGACCCGGCAGAUCGGCGGAGCGCCUCGGCUUCCUCGUCCGCAGCUCUGCUGGGGCGGGCGUAGUGGGCCGUCUUGAGCGCGAACUCGGUGCCGGUGCCACGGUGGCGCACCUUGGUGACCACUCCGCAGGCGCCCUCGCCGAGGUGGCAGACCUGCUCCAGGUCCGACAGCCGCAGGUCCAGGUCGUCCGCGGGCAGCGCCAGCGCCUGCUUCAUCAGCUCGUGGGGAGCGGCAGCGGCAGGGAUCCGGUGGAAGAACUGGUGCGGCGCGACGGGCAACGCCGGGCAAGUCAUCGGGCGCCGGGAGGAGACGGCAGCGCCAGCGCCGCUGCUCUCCAGCGGGACGUCCGCCGCCGCCACAACCAUGCCUGAGGUUUUCAAUCCCAAUGCUGCGUAGUACUAUAAGGUACGGUGAGAAAGUGCGGGAGGCCUGGAUUUAUAGCGCGAGUCGGAAUCGGGGCAGGACUCACCGUGACCGAAUUGGCGGCAAGUCUUGAGCCCCCAGCUGGCUGAAUUGCGGACAGCAGGGAGGUCCUACGAGUCACCCAGUAGGACAAGCGUGACUUGAAGUAGCAACCAAGUAAAAAGGAAUGGAGAGGUACGAUCAGUCAAACGUACUGACUCUACCGUAUAAUACAGUGUAUUCUAGUAUUUAAUAUAUAUAUAUAUAUAUUCUUAAAUAUAAUGUAUUUUAAAGGACAAAAAUCAAUUUUAUAUUAAUUAUUAUCAAUUUAUAAAUCAAUCACAUUAAUAAUAACAUCUGAUUAAAAAUAAAAUAAGAAUACACAUGCGUCCUAAAAUUCCUAAAUUUCCUGUAAUGGCAGUGACUCGUUUCGGUCCAACUAAGGUCUUGUUUAGAUCCAAAAACUUUUUGAAUUUUGACACUGUAGCACUUUCGUUUUUAUUUGACAAACAUUGUCCAAUCAUAGAGUAACUAGGCUUAAAAGUUUCGUCUCGUGAUUUACAGGUAAACUGUGCAAUUAGUUAUUUUUUUAUCUAUAUUUAAUAUUCUAUGCAUGUGCCACAAGAUUCGAUGUGAUGGGGAAUCUUGUAAAGUUUUGGGUUUUUUGUGCAUCUAAACAAGGCCUUAGUUCCCCAAAAAAUUGUCAUCGAAUCUUUAGACGUAUGCAUGGAGUAUUAAAUAUAGACGAAAAUAAAAAAUAAUUGCACAGUUUGGUCGGAAUUGACGAGACGAAUCUUUUGAGCCUAGUUAGUCUAUGAUUGGACAAUAUUUAUCAAAUACAAACGAAAGUGCUACAGUGUCGAUUUUUCAAAAAAAUUUGAAACUAAACAAGACCUAACUAUUAAAAAGCCAGCUAAUAAUAGCUUAGUGAAAGGGGGAGAUGA
rnacentral:lncRNA from 1 species